UACAGACGGUCCAAACGUUAUUCGGAAUCACUGGGCUUGAAGAGUGCGUAGGCGGUUUCGUAAGUAGGGUGUGAAAGCCCCCAGCUCAACUGGGGAACUGCGUCCUAAACUGCGAGGCUGGAGUGAGGUAGGGGUGUGUGGAACUUCCGGUGGAGCGGUGAAAUGUGUUGAUAUCGGAAGGAACGCCGGUGGCGAAAGCGACACACUGGGCCUUGUCUGACGCUGAGGCACGAAAGCCAGGGGAGCAAACGGG
rnacentral:rRNA from 1 species